rnacentral:rRNA from 1 species
UACGUAGGCAGCAAGCGUUGUUCGGAGUUACUGGGCGUAAAGGGUGCGUAGGCGGUUGUUUAAGUUUGGUGUGAAAUCUCCCGCUCAACUGGGAGGGUGCGCCGAAUACUGAAUGACUAGAGUGCGGGAGAGGAGAGUGGAAUUCCUGGUGUAGCGGUGAAAUGCGUAGAUAUCAGGAGGAACACCAGUGGUGCAGACGGCUCUCUGGACCGUAACUGACGCUGAGACACGAAAGCGUGGGUAGCAAACAGG